AGCCAGUGAUGCUUGACUUCGGUGAUCUGCUGGGAACCGUGUCUUAACGAACCGUGUUUUGCGGGACCCAAAAACUUAGAAGAAGAGGUAUUGUCCUAAAGUGUGGAAUGUAGAGUGUUCGAUUCCCACCAUACAUCUUUCACUGUCUUUAAAUUAGGUCCUUCUGUAUUCAUUUAUUUAUUUAUUCACGUUCACAUACAAGCAUAUGCAUUCAAUGCAGAGAGCGGCUUUCAAACCCGCGUUAUGUUCAAGAAGGAUAAAUAGAACGAAUUAGAGAACACAAAUAGAAGAAGGGCAAAUAAAGCAAAGACAAUGAAGAGACAUCCAGGGUUACGACGGGACUCAGACCUGCUACCUUCUCGCUUCAAAUCUUUUGGCAGAAGGGCGUUUAUCCCUGGGUUGACCUCAAAGCACCUUUGAAUUUCUGCUGUUAUUUGAGUUCUUUUCAUUCAGACAAGAGUUUAUUGGGGACAUUUGAUAGAAUUUAUGUAUGAUUGAAUAAAAAAAUAUUUGAAAUAAAUAACUAUGAUUAAUGAAGCAAAAAGUUAGUUUGCAGCAAUUGUGUUUAAUCUGUUUUUUUUUCCUAAUAAGUUUACUUUGUUAAGCUCUUAACGUACGAUAGCAUAUUUUAAUAUUUUUUUAUUUUGGUGCGGAGCAACAUUUGCUCAACUAAUUUUAGCUUUGUGUACAUUGUAAACACUGAUAUUUGAUUUUUAAGAAACACAAUCAUUUUGAACUCUGAAUCCUUCGUAAACUUAGUGGGGAGUCAGAGUAGCAGUAAACAGUCAGAAAAUGUUGGAUGACGAGAUUCUGCUUUCUUUAUUGCUAUUUGUCGCUACUGCAAUUAUAUCAUUAAUGUGGACUUCAGUAAUGUCAUUGACAUCCAUCGCAAUACAAACCAUCGUAGGAGAUUACCAUAAACAAGACGCCAUUUUCAUCAUUCCUUUCUUGGUACUAGUAGUCGUCAGCGUUUUAGCAUUUGACUGCAAUCGAGCGUACAAACGUACCGUACAGGCGUUCUCUCUCAUCCUUGCCUUCUCUAUUUUUGCGGACUGGAGUUUUAAAACCAGGUAUUACUUCAAUGUGGUGCAUCUGUACUUCUUUGCGCAAAUACUGCGAUACCUGGCAGAACAUGAAUUAGUCACAGCAUCAGACUUUGGAUUAGAUUCUUGUUUUAAUCUAGAUUAACAUGGUUUUAUCGUAUUUAAAAUUGGUAUUCAUUAAAAGUGAAGCAUGGUUGUUUUGAAAUCAAAAAGUCAUUGCGAGAUGCUGAAAUACUUGAAAUCUGUGCCUUUUUUAUAUUUAAACAUGUUUUGAUUUUAAAUUUUCUUUUCUACAAAAAUUGCUUUGUUUUUAGCCACACUUUGUAUUUUCUGAUUCAAGAUUUGAUUUCCAAGUAAUAAAAUCCGAUUUAAAUUUU